CACUUCUAAGGAGGGCAGCAGGCGCGCAAAUUACCCAAUCCUGACUCAGGGAGGUAGUGACAAGAAAUAACAAUAAACCGGCUUAUGCCGGUUUAAUUGGAAUGAGUACAAUUUAAACAUCUUAACGAGGAACAAUUGGAGGGCAAGUCUGGUGCCAGCAGCCGCGGUAAUUCCAGCUCCAAUAGCGUAUACUAAAGUUGUUGCAGUUAAAAAGCUCGUAGUUGGAUUUCUGUGGGGACGGAGCGGCCGGCCGCAACACGCGGUUCGAGCUAGCGCUUUCCCUACAUCCUGCCGCGAACCGUGCUACCAUUAGUUUGGUGGCGCUGGGGAUCGGCUCGAUUACUUUGAGAAAAAUAGAGUGUUCAAAGCAGGCCACAUGCCUUGAAUAAGUUAGCAUGGAAUAAUAACUAAGGACUUCGGUUCUAUUUUGUUGGUGUUCGGGACUGAAGUAAUGAUUGAUAGGGACAGUUGGGGCGGUCUGUAUUCCAAAGCGAGAGGUGAAAUUCUUAGACCUUCGGAAGACAAACAGCUGCGAAAGCGUUCCGCAAGGAUGUUCCCUUUGAUCAAGAACGAAAGUUGGGGGAUCGAAGACGAUCAGAUACCGUCGUAGUCUCAACUAUAAACUAUACCAGCUAGGGAUCGGCCAACGUUAUUCUACACCGACUUGGUCGGCACCUUAUGAGAAAUCAAAGCAUCUGGGUUCCGGGGGGAGUAUGGUCGCAAGGCUGAAACUUAAAGGAAUUGACGGAAGGGCACCACCAGCCGUGGAGCCUGUGGCUUAAUUUGACUCAACACGGGAAAACUUACCAGGUCCAGACAUAGUAAGGAUUGACAGAUUGAUAGCUCUUUCUUGAUUCUGUGGGUGGUGGUGCAUGGCCGUUCUUAGUUGGUGGAGUGAUUUGUCUGGUUAAUUCCGUUAACGAACGAGACCCCAGCCUGCUAAAUAGCGCGUGUGAGCUUUGCUCGCAGCGAGCUUCUUAGAGGGACUAUGAUGCGCGAUAGCACAUGGAAGUUUGGGGCAAUAACAGGUCUGUGAUGCCCUUAGAUGUUCUGGGCCGCACACGGGCUACACUGGCGCCUGCAACGAGCAUAUCAGCUGGCCCGAGAGGGUCUUGGCUAAUCUUUUGAACCGGCGCCGUGCUUGGGAUUGACCUUUGCAAUUGUUGAUCAUGCAACGAGGAAUGCCUUGUAAACGCGAGUCAUCAGCUCGCAUUGAAUACGUCCCUGCCCUUUGUACACACCGCCCGUCGCUCCUACCGAUGAAUGUUCCGAUGAAAUUUUCGGAGAGUGCCUGUGAACUUGGCUCUGCCUUGCGAACGGGAAGCUCAAAGUCACUUAAAUCUGAACAUUUCGAGG
rnacentral:rRNA from 1 species